GCAUUUACUGCUGCUGCUGCUAAGCUGCUUCAGUAGUAUCUGACUCUGUGCGACCCCUGAGACUGCAGCCCACCAGGCUCCCCUGUCCCUGGGAUUCUCCAGGCAAGAACACUGGAGUGGGUUGCCAUUUCCUUCUCCAAUGCAUGAAAGUGAAAAGUGAAAGUGAAGUCGCUCAGUCGUGUCCGACUCUUUGUGACCCCAUGGACUGCAGCCUACUAGGCUCCUCCUUCCAUGGAAUUUUCCAGGCAAGAGUAUUGGAGUUGGUUGCCACUGCCUUCUCCCAUUAGACAUCUGAAUGACAGUAAAUCAAAGGACACAAAUUUUAAAACGGUUGGAGUCAGAAUAUUUCCAAUAUCUGCCAAUAGAGGCUAGAGAGACAGCACUUAACUCAUCAAAAGGUGGAAGAAACAGACAAACCAAUAGAAUAAUCAAAGAACUACAUUCAAAAAGGUGUCAAAGCUCCAUGAUGGAUGAGAAAUUAGUACCAGAAUGGCUCCCGCUGUGAACUAUAAAAUCUGACAAAUACAUGAAGCAACUGUUUUUAUGCAUUACAGAACAAUGCAAGAAGCAUUGCCUUUCUGGGAUAAACCCCAAUGGGUUAUGAAGCUAUUGCACCCAUGCUAAGUUGCUUCAGUUGUGUCCGACUCUGCGACCCUACAGAUAGCAGCCUGCCAGUCUCCUCUGUCCAUGGGGUUCUCCAGGCAAGAAUACUGGAGCAGGUUGCCAUUUCCUCCUCCAGGGGAUCUUCCUGACCCAGGGAUCGAACCUGGGUCUCCUGUAUCCUUUUGCAUUGGCAGCAGGCUUUUUACCACUAGUGCCACCUGGGAAACCCUAUGAAGAGAGAUAUAAAAAUUACAUGGGUUUGCGGAGUUCCCUGGUGGCUCAGGGGUAAAGAAGCUGCCUGCCAGUGCAGGAGACAUGGGUUUGAUCCCUGGUUCUUGAAGAUCCCACAUGCCAAGGAGCAACUAAGCCUGUGCACCACAACUACUGAGCCUGUGAUCUAGAACCCAGAACCAGAACUACUGAGCCAAUGAGCCAUACUACUGAAGCCCACACACCCGAGAGCCCCUGCUCCUCAACAGGAGAAGCUCCACAGUGGGAAGCCCACACACCACAACCGGAGAGUAGCCUCUGCUCCCCACACUAGAGAAA
ensembl:lncRNA